CAACAACUGGCGCCCAAACGUGGGGCCCUCAGCACUCACCUCGCCCGGCAAGGGUUUCAGACGCGUCACUCAUCCGCUUCGCGGAUCCCGGGCUGGUGGACACUGGAGCUGACGUUACGGUGAUUCGUGAUCCGGAGUGGCCGGUCGAUGCGGACCUUCUUCGCCUGUUUUUGUCCUUACAGUAUCUCAUCACCACUCGUAAUUUCCCUUAUUUUGUUGCUCAUAUUCGCAGUCAUACCCCU